rnacentral:rRNA from 1 species
GGGAUAGUAACUCUCGCAAGAGGGCGACUCCUAUUCACUUAUAAACACAAAGUCUAUGAAUGUAUUAAAUUUUAUAACAAAAUAAAACUUUCAACAACGGAUCUCUUGGCUCUCGCAUCGAUGAAGAACGCAGCGAAAUGCGAUAAGUAAUGUGAAUUGCAGAAUUCAGUGAAUCAUCGAAUCUUUGAACGCACCUUGCGCUCCAUGGUAUUCCGUGGAGCAUGCCUGUUUGAGUGUCAUGAAUACUUCAACCCUCCUCUUUCUUAAUGAUUGAAGAGGUGUUUGGUUUCUGAGCGCUGCUGGCCUUUAGGGUCUAGCUCGUUCGUAAUGCAUUAGCAUCCGCAAUCGAACUUCGGAUUGACUUGGCGUAAUAGACUAUUCGCUGAGGAAUUCUAGUCUUCGGACUAGAGCCGGGUUGGGUUAAAGGAAGCUUCUAAUCAGAAUGUCUACAUUUUAAGAUUAGAUCUCAAAUC